rnacentral:rRNA from 1 species
UACGUAGGGGGCAAGCGUUGUCCGGAAUCAUUGGGCGUAAAGCGCGUGUAGGCGGUCCGGUAAGUCCGCUGUGAAAGUCCGGGGCUCAACCCUCGGAUGCCGGUGGAUACUGUCGAGCUCGAGUCCGGAAGAGGCGAGUGGAAUUCCGUGGUGUAGCGGUGAAAUGCGCAGAUAUCAAGGAGGAACACCAAUGGCGAAGGCAGCUCGCUGGACGUGACUGACGCUGAGACGCGAACGCGUGGGAGC